rnacentral:lncRNA from 1 species
GAUGGGCUGCCAGGAGGGCUGACUGUGCGGCUCAUCUUAUCCUCAUCCUCCUUUUGAAUAUGCUUUCGUCCCCAAAGGGGCAGCAGCACGGCCUGCUGGGGUUCUGGCCUUCAGGUGGAAAGAAAAUCAAAAGGUGUUUGAAAAGUCUCUCUUCUCCUUUACACCUUCCAUAGCGCUUUGGUGUUUGAAAGACAGACUGCUGCGUUCAGCAGAUCUGGCCCCAUGAUAUUCUAUGCACGCACACUAUUUCUGUUUGCUAUCAAUGUAUUUUAAUGUUUUGGCUCAUGUGAUAUUAUAGGCUUUUCUCUGUCCUUUACUUGCUGCUACAGCUUUAGCAAUAGGAGAAUGUGUUCGAUGGUGUAACCUGAUGUCCCACAGAAGACAAAUCUGGUUGCCUAUCCAAAAAAGGAGCUAUUAGGGCUCACAGAUUCCUUAAUGGAACUUAAUGGCUUUAAGUAAUGGCCCUUAAUGGCUUUAAUCAGCCUCACCGGGAGCCUCCACCCACACUCCCUGCCCUUGGGUGCAGGAGCCACAUAAAAGCCCCGGGCUGUGAGCUUACAGAGCUUUGUUGCAUCGAGUCUGUGGUUUGACUAUGGCUUCCUGGCUGACCUUCUGGUUUGAUCUCGGACCUGUCUCAGAAGGUUGUUUGGUGAUGCAGACUCUCCACCUGAACCUGGCAGCCAUCUUUGGGUUUGCUCAACUCACCUCACUAGGGUUAUAUGUGCACCAGGUACUACUGCUCUGUCUGGCAGAUGGAGCCCUGGAGUGUGAGUAGCUGAGCUGCAGAAGUUCAGUAUCUCAAAAAUUGGAUCAGAAUUCUGGGAAGGCAGUGAGGAUACGGAGUAACAGAGCCAUUCCCUUGGCCACCAGUGGAUUCAUGCAAAGUGUAGGAUGUGAGGACAUACCAAGGACAGCUGGGGGGGACUAUGAUAAGACCCAUUAAAACACGGAUGGUGCAAAUAUCGUGGAGCGGAAAUAACUAGCAGAAGUUAUGCAGUAUGAUUAUCAACCAGAGGGCUAACGAAGAAAAGCAAAGUAUUUCAUUUUGCACUCAGAAACUACCUAAAUAAAUCCUUACCAGCUGAUAUUCUGCACUACAACUGGUUCAAAGAAGGAAUUAGACAAGUUAAUAGGUCUGUCAAGAGCUAUCGAACGCACUGGCUGAAUCACAGAUGUCCAGAUAAGGAUGCUGUAAACCAUUUAUUUCUUAAAACCGCAAGGAUGUAACAUGUAGCAACUCCUCUGCAACUGCC